rnacentral:rRNA from 1 species
ACGAACGCUGGCGGCGUGCCUCAUACAUGCAAGUUGAGCGCUGAAGGUUGGUACUUGUACCCACUGGAUGAGCAGCGAACGGGUGAGUAACGCGUGGGGAAUCUGCCUUUGAGCGGGGGACAACAUUUGGAAACGAAUGCUAAUACCGCAUAAAAACUUUAAACACAAGUUUUAAGUUUGAAAGAUGCAAUUGCAUCACUCAAAGAUGAUCCCGCGUUGUAUUAGCUAGUUGGUGAGGUAAAGGCUCACCAAGGCGAUGAUACAUAGCCGACCUGAGAGGGUGAUCGGCCACAUUGGGACUGAGACACGGCCCAAACUCCUACGGGAGGCAGCAGUAGGGAAUCUUCGGCAAUGGACGAAAGUCUGACCGAGCAACGCCGCGUGAGUGAAGAAGGUUUUCGGAUCGUAAAACUCUGUUGGUAGAGAAGAACGUUGGUGAGAGUGGAAAGCUCAUCAAGUGACGGUAACUACCCAGAAAGGGACGGCUAACUACGUG